GAUGAACGCUAGCUACAGGCUUAACACGUGCAAGUCGAGGGGAAACGACAUCGAAAGCUUGCUUUUGAUGGGCGUCGACCGGCGCACGGGUGAGUAACGCGUAUCCAACCUGCCCAUCACUUGGGGAUAACCUUGCGAAAGUAAGACUAAUACCCAAUGAUAUCUCUAGAAGACAUCUGAAAGAGAUUAAAGAUUUAUCGGUGAUGGAUGGGGAUGCGUCUGAUUAGCUUGUUGGCGGGGUAACGGCCCACCAAGGCGACGAUCAGUAGGGGUUCUGAGAGGAAGGUCCCCACAUUGGAACUGAGACACGGUCCAAACUCCUACGGGAGGCAGCAGUGAGGAAUAUUGGUCAAUGGGCGAGAGCCUGAACCAGCCAAGUAGCGUGCAGGAAGACGGCCCUAUGGGUUGUAAACUGCUUUUAUAAGGGAAUAAAGUGAGUCUCGUGAGACUUUUUGCAUGUACCUUAUGAAUAAGGACCGGCUAAUUCCGUGACAGCAGCCGCAGUAA
rnacentral:rRNA from 1 species